UGAUGUUAGCGGCGGACGGGUGAGUACACGUGGGUAACCUGCCUGUAAGACUGGGAUAACUCCGGGAAACCGGGGCUAAUACCGGAUGGUUGUUUGAACCGCAUGGUUCAAACAUAAAAGGUGGCUUCGGCUACCACUUACAGAUGGACCCGCGGCGCAUUAGCUAGUUGGUGAGGUAACGGCUCACCAAGGCAACGAUGCGUAGCCGACCUGAGAGGGUGAUCGGCCACACUGGGACUGAGACACGGCCCAGACUCCUACGGGAGGCAGCAGUGGUCAUAG
rnacentral:rRNA from 1 species